AAAUCUGCAAAAUUCAAAUAAAUUCUUAGAAGUCUAGAGAGCUCAAAAACUCUAAAAAUUUCAAAAUGUAGAUCCAAAUAAUACUGAAAAACCUAUGAAAAAGUCAAAAAUUCUGGUAGAAGUAGAUAGUCUAGAUACAAAACAUUAGAUCCUAUAAAUAGAAAUCCUGAAAAAUCAACAAAAAUAUUGUAUAAAAUCCUUGCCAGAUAUGUUUUUGUUCAACUGCAAUGGUUCCUCAAGCUGGUUUUUCAAAUCCAGCUAGUGUAUGUGGUUAGUUGAAGUUCCUUUGAAGUCAACUGCAUCCUGUUCCUUUUUCUGGAUUUUUGGUGCUCAAUUUGUGAACGGUUUGCUGCUGGUUUUAGUUGCUGAUUAUUGCAUGCUGCUGCUGGCUUAUCCUUCUCUUUAUUUUUUUUCGAAUUCCUGGUAUUUCUUAGCCUCAAAUGAUAUAUUAGAAUUGAGUCAUAUGUAUGAUCCAAAUUGGAAAGAGAAAUGAAGCGCAAGCUGUUUUUUCUCUUCUACUUUACCUAAGUGAUAAUGCAUUUCACAUUUGUAUCCAUUUGAACUUCAUAAU
rnacentral:lncRNA from 1 species